rnacentral:rRNA from 1 species
GACGAACGCUGGCGGCGUGCUUAACACAUGCAAGUCGAACGGAAAGGCCUCUUUCGGGGGGUACUCGAGUGGCGAACGGGUGAGUAACACGUGAGUAACCUGCCCUUGACUUUGGGAUAACUUCAGGAAACUGGGGCUAAUACCGGAUAGGAGCUCCUGCUGCAUGGUGGGGGUUGGAAAGUUUCGGCGGUUGGGGAUGGACUCGCGGCUUAUCAGCUUGUUGGUGGGGUAGUGGCUUACCAAGGCUUUGACGGGUAGCCGGCCUGAGAGGGUGACCGGCCACAUUGGGACUGAGAGACGGCCCAGACUCCUACGGGAGGCAGCAGGGGGGAAUAUUGCACAAUGGGUGGAAGCCUGAUGCAGCAACGCCGUGUGCGGGAUGACGGCCUUAGGGUUGUAAACCGCUUUCGCUCAUGACGAAGCUUUGUGUGACGGUAGUGGGUAAAGAAGCACCGGCUAACUACGUG